UUAAGUUGGGCACUCUAAGUUGACUGCCGGUGACAAACCGGAGGAAGGUGGGGAUGACGUCAAAUCAUCAUGCCCCUUAUGAUUUGGGCUACACACGUGCUACAAUGGACAAUACAAAGGGCAGCGAAACCGCGAGGUCAAGCAAAUCCCAUAAAGUUGUUCUCAGUUCGGAUUGUAGUCUGCAACUCGACUAUAUGAAGCUGGAAUCGCUAGUAAUCGUAGAUCAGCAUGCUACGGUGAAUACGUUCCCGGGUCUUGUACACACCGCCCGUCACACCACGAGAGUUUGUAACACCCGAAGCCGGUGGAGUAACCAUUUGGAGCUAGCCGUCGAAGGUGGGACAAAUGAUUGGGGUGAAGUCGUAACAAGGUAGCCGUAUCGGAAGGUGCGGCUGGAUCACCUCCUUU
rnacentral:rRNA from 1 species